rnacentral:rRNA from 1 species
UACGAAGGGGGCGAGCGUUGUUCGGAAUUACUGGGCGUAAAGUGUGCGCAGGCGGCCGAGCAAGUCGAGUGUGAAAUCCCCGAGCUUAACUUGGGAAUUGCGCUCGAAACUACUUGGCUGGAGUGUGGCAGAGGGGGGUGGAAUUCCACGUGUAGCGGUGAAAUGCGUAGAGAUGUGGAGGAACACCAAUGGCGAAGGCAGCCCCCUGGGCCAACACUGACGCUCAUGCACGAAAGCGUGGGGAGCAAACAGG